rnacentral:rRNA from 1 species
UAGCGGAGGAAAAGAAACUAACAAGGAUUCCCCCAGUAACGGCGAGUGAAGUGGGAAAAGCUCAACUUUAAAAUCUGGCGUCUUCGGCGUCCGAGUUGUAGUCUCAAGAAGUGUUUUCUGUGUCGGUCCGUGUAUGAGUCUGUUGGAACACAGCGUCAUAGAGGGUGACAACCCCGUUCAUGCCACGGAUACCGGUGCUUUGUGAUACACUCUCGAAGAGUCGAGUUGUUUGGGAAUGCAGCUCAAAUUGGGUGGUAAAUUCCAUCUAAAGCUAAAUAUUGGCGAGAGACCGAUAGCAAACAAGUACCGUGAGGGAAAGAUGAAAAGCACUUUGGAAAGAGAGUUAACAGUACGUGAAAUUGUUGAAAGGGAAACGAAUGAAGUCAGACGUGCGUGUUGCAAUUCAGCUCUGGUUCGCCAGAGUGUAUUUUGUAACUUUGCAGGCCAACAUCGGUUUUCUAAGCCGGAUAAAGGUUUGAGGAAGGUGGC